GAUUGAACGCUGGCGGCAGGCCUAACACAUGCAAGUCGAACGGUAACAGGAAGCAGCUUGCUGCUUUGCUGACGAGUGGCGGACGGGUGAGUAAUGUCUGGGAAACUGCCUGAUGGAGGGGGAUAACUACUGGAAACGGUAGCUAAUACCGCAUAACGUCGCAAGACCAAAGAGGGGGACCUUCGGGCCUCUUGCCAUCGGAUGUGCCCAGAUGGGAUUAGCUAGUAGGUGGGGUAAUGGCUCACCUAGGCGACGAUCCCUAGCUGGUCUGAGAGGAUGACCAGCCACACUGGAACUGAGACACGGUCCAGACUCCUACGGGAGGCAGCAGUGGGGAAUAUUGCACAAUGGGCGCAAGCCUGAUGCAGCCAUGCCGCGUGUAUGAAGAAGGCCUUCGGGUUGUAAAGUACUUU
rnacentral:rRNA from 1 species